rnacentral:lncRNA from 1 species
UGCCCGAGCUUCUCCAUCCUGCUGACCUGCCUCCUCUCACACCUCCAAGACUCCUCCCUCAAACCCUCUGGUUUGGGAGUAGAGAAUGCUUACGCUUGAAAAUCUUCUGUUUGGAGACUCAGAUGUCCAGCUCGCCGCUGUCCAAGAAACGUCGCGUGUCCGGGCCUGAUCCAAAGCCGGGUUCUAACUGCUCCCCUGCCCAGUCCGUGUUGUCCGAAGUGCCCUCGGUGCCAACCAACGGAAUGGCCAAGAACGGCAGUGAAGCAGACAUAGACGAGGGCCUUUACUCCCGGCAGCUGUAAGUG